GCCUCGCGAUUGUUUUUUUUGUAGUUGUAGUAACGCCAGUUGCAAGUCCAUCAUCGACUCGCAACUCGGCUCGUAGUUUUUUUUUUCACGUCACUUGCAAGUCGACCCUCGACUUGGGGGCAAAAUGAUGAGAUAGAUGGGGUUCAUAUCUACUUGAUACAGAGAGGAUACAAUUUAUAAUUUUUUCCCAAGCACUUUACUCAUUUUAUUUGGUCCAAAAGAAUAACCGACUUAAAUCUUUGUUUCUACUGGACAAAAGGGAUAGCAUGUUAACCACCAACUGAAAUUUAUUUGUUAGUCAGUAAGAGGAUUUGAUGGUGUUGCAAACUCAUGACCCUGAGAGGCGAAUGAGUAAGGUGGAAUCAACUGCAGAAAUUGUUGUCCAUUGUUUUGCAUUUGAAAAAGCCUCAGGUCAAACACCACUGCUGGGUACUGGGAUGCACAGGCUACAAUCAAAACAAAGCAGUAAGUUCAUCUCAUGUUUUUUCCUGUCAUUUUUGUUUUUAUGGUCCCAUGUGUAUUUAUGAAUCAAUAUUUAUUUAUUUUUCUUUUUUCCCAAAUCAUACCUGAGUGCCAACGUAGUCCCCUGCAUAGCUAUCUUCAUUUCCCGCGGUCAUCAGUUUUUACAAAAUUUAACAUUAUGCUUUUCUUCGCCUAAAGAUUUUAUGGAAUGGAGGAGCACACCCCUAAGUCUUUUUCUUAGGGGCAACAUGGUAACAUUUGUCAUAUGUUGUUUUCUUUCUUAUCAGGUGCCAACACUUCUUUUGUGAACAUGCAUAAUACACUGAGAUGCAGUCAAAUUCUAAGUUCUUCUUUCUUAGAUGAAAAAUUCUAAAUUCAGAGUCAGCACUUUUUAUUUUGUUCUCUAACAAGGUAAUGAUGCAUCUUUUCCUCUUUCUUUUCCCUAGUGAGGCCAAAUAUAUUUUCUUGAUCAGGUUGUAUAUAGAAAUGUAGUUACAGUUUUUUUGGAAAGGCAAUGUUUUUUGCUGAAUAAAUGGGAACAAAUGCCAUCUGAAAGUUGUUGCACGCAAACUGGAACAAGGAGGUGUUUUUGUUCUGAUCUUUCAGUUAGCACAUGUAUGAAGCUCAACCCAUCUGAAACAAACAAGCUAUCUGGCAUGUAAAAGAUAGUGAUAUGCAGUUUUUCUCUGACCAGUUUCUAAGGCUAGAUCAGUUUUCUGAGCCUAGAUCACACUGACAUGCACUUUAUUUAGGCGCAACAACACAAUGUUGUCUGUGUGUUCAUGUAGAUAUGGUCUGCUUAGAAAGACUUUGCUCUGAUUUUUUUGACGACAAAAAACUGUUUAACUGUUGUGUGUUUUUUCCAGAGACCAGGACCAUAUGUUUGAUGGAAAAAGAAAGGAUAAUCAUGAGCAAAAAAUAAAGAUCUACCAUCAGAAAUUAUCUAGAAGGUUGUACACGAUCUUGCCAGAAAGGAUCUACAAGGAGAGGCCAAAUUUUGUACUUGGGUUUUCGCAACUUUUCGUCAGCCACCUAAGCUUCUUUUGCAACUGUUUUUUUUUCUGCCAACAAGGCCCAGGUCUGUGCGCACAUGUUGCUCUUUUUUUUUGUCAAACAAACAAAUAGACAAAUAAAGCCCAACAAACAAGGUCCAGGGGCAGGGGGUAGUUCGGCUGGGUGGGGUGGACUGGCCAGACACAAACAAACAAUACAAACAAGCGUCUAUGUGUGUGAGGGUGAUCGGGUGCAACCAGGCUGGUUGUUUGAUUAGAGGAUGAUGUCAGCUUAGUCUCACAUCUAGAUGCAACAUAGACAGACCCUAUUCAGGACCUCUUAACUGGCUUUAUCCUCUCUUUUAACCUGUCAAUUAUUUCCGUCUCGGUGUUUAAUUCUGUCUCAUUGGGUUGGAACUGCAGGAGCCAUGCCCUUGAUUCUUGCUCCGAAAGUGGACCUGGAGAAAUUUUUGGUUCGACGAUGUAAGAUACUCCCUCCGUUCCGAAUUACUUGUCUUAGAUUUGUUUAAAUACGGAUGUAUCUAGCAUUAAAAUGAGUCUAAAUACAUCAGUAUCUAGACAAAUUCAAGACAAGUAAUUCGGAACGGAGGGAGUAUUACUUAGUGCGUUUGGUCAUGGUACUGUUUCCCCAAAGGUGGUUAUUUCUUCAUUUUUGAAUCAUGCUUGUUGUGUGCUGAUGGUGCGUGAGGAACGCCAUGGUUCUUCUCUGAAUCAUUUGGUAGUUCUCUCAAUCUUGUGCAUUUUGUUCUCUAAAACAUGUGGUAUUUCUAGGUGCACAGCAUGUUGUGUGGUGGAUAGGGGAAGCUGAGGCGACGACUGGCGACUGUUCUCUUUACAACUGGCGUGGUUGAGAGGCUAGGGAGUAGGUCAUUUUGCUAUUUGGUCAGCGAUGGAGAUGAAUUCGGGAGAGAUGUGGCUGGGAGUUGUACCGGUCAUUUUUCUGUCUCUAUAUUAUCCAUUUGCACUAAUCGGUAACAGUUUUUUGAGCAGGCAAUAGUGUAGCAUGCAUGAACAGAAAAAUUGUAUAAGGCGAGGAGGACAAUCUGAGCGACCAACAUUAUGUUUUUUUACAGAACGACCAACAUUAUGUUGAGUAUUGAGAUGUAGGUAAGGCACGUAUAAUCUGAAUUGAGCCAUAUGGAGGGCAUGUAUAGUCUGUAUGUGCAGUCUUAAUUGUAUGUUGAAUUCUUCGCUACUAGGAAAAGGGCUAUAGCUAAUAUGGUAUAGCAGUGGCGCACCAUGUGUAGGUACGCCAUUAAUGUCCAUAUCACUAAUGGCGUACCACACCCAUGGUGCGCCAUUACUAACAUUUUUUUUCCAAAACUAGUAAUGGCGCACCACACACUCUGUGCGUCACUACUAACAAUUUUUUUUAUUUUUUUUCAAAACUAGUAAUGGCGCAUUAGUGUAUAGUGCGCCAUUACUAGUUCAAACUAGUAAUGGCGCACCACAACCAUGGUGCGCCACUACUAACAUUUUUUUUACUUUUUUGCAAAAACUAGUAAUGGCGCAUCACAUAAUAGGUGCGCCAUUUAAAAGAUCGUGAAUGU
rnacentral:lncRNA from 1 species